AUAAUUGAUAACCGGUAAGGAAAAUUUUUGUUUAAUGACACGCAUAAUUAGUAUUCUUGUUACAAUGGACUAUGAACUGAUACUAAACAAAUUUUUUAUCUGCAACACUAUAAAUUGAUGUUUGUUUUACUAAUUUAGUCAGUUAGUGCUUAAUGGCGAGAGGUGAAGGUUUACUUAAUAGCAGCAUAAACAAGUUACCGAUCGAAUUGCAUCUUCCGGGGUAUCAAUACUGUGGUCCUGGUACAAAGUUAGCAAAAAGACUUAAUCGACAAGAUCCAGGAAUAAAUAAACUUGAUCAGUAUUGUAAAGUUCACGAUAUAGAAUACUCUAAAUCAAAUAAUUUGAAAGAUAGACAUAAAGCUGAUCAAAUUUUGGAAAACAAAGCCUGGUCACGUGUAAUAUCAAAAGACGCUAAAUUUGGUGAAAAAGCAAGUGCGUGGUUGGUAACAAAUAUUAUGAAACUAAAAAGAAAACUCGGAAUGGGUAUUAAAAGAACAACAAAGAAGAAAACAAUUAAGAAGAAAAAAACUCGUAAAUGCCAAAGAGGAAUAAAAAGAACUCGUAAAUGUGGAAGAGGAAUGAAAAAAACACGUCAACAACAACAACAACAACAACAACAACAACAACAACAACAACAACAACAACAACAACAACAACAACAUAAUGGAAAGACAAAAAUGAAUUUAAGAAAAAGAUGUAAUACAAAAAAACGAAUUGGAUUUCAAGCUGGUAUUAUUAAUAGUCUAAGAAAACGUGGUUUAACAGAAAAUCAUAAAAUAAGUACUAUUCUAAAACACGCACGAGCAGCAGUUAAGGCAGCAGGAGGGAAAAAAAAUAUUAAAGUCCCUAGAAUUAUCCCUAUUAAAAAAGGAGGACUUAUACCACUUUUACCUUUAAUUUUUGGUGGACUUAGUGCACUAGGAAGUUUAGGUGCUGGUGCUGCUACAGUGGCUCGUGCAGUAAAUAAUGCAAAAAGUGCACAGAAAAAAUUAGAAGAAGCACAACGGCAUAAUAAAACUAUGGAAGCAAUAGCUAUUGGAAAAAAAGGAAGCGGUCUAUAUUUAAAACGUUUGCGAAAAGGAUAUGGCUUAUUUUUAAAAAAAUUUUCAAAAAACUCCCAAUAAAGCUACCCAAGAAAGCAUUAACUAAUCAAAAUUUACUAAAAUAUGCUAAAAUCUUAAAACUUACAGAUUUUCGAGGUGUAUUUAUGAAAGAUAAAUUACCACAACAUUGUUUUAAUUAUGAAAGUGGAAUAGUAAAUCUUGAUGAUAAUAAAGGAGAAGGCACACAUUGGGUAGCUUAUAAAAAAAAUAAAAAAAUUGUGCAUUAUUUUGAUAGUUUUGGCAACUUUAAGCCACCAAAAUCCCUAAUUAAUUAUUUUAAAAACUGUAAAAUUUAUUAUAACCAUGAUAAAUUUCAAAAUCUAACCUAUAAUUGUGGACAUUUGUGUUUAAAAUUUCUAUAUAAUAUGAAACAUAAUUAAAUUAAAUCAGUUUCAUUCUAACAGUUGUCAUGUUUGUUCUUCUUUUAUUUACUGAUACGAAAAGUGUUUUGAGUGUUAAUCUGUCACCACCAAUUUAUAUUGAUAAUAAUUAUAUAUAUUCUCUAGCACUAAUUGGAUUAGAUACUUAUAAUCACAUACCAAAUAUUGAAGAUGGUACUGAUAAGUUAUAUUAUAACACAAUAACCAAAAAUCCUUCAAAUAAUCAAAUUGUUAGAACACAAAACGUAAUUCGUCUUCCUAAAGGAACAUUUGAAAUUUCAGAUAUCGAAAAAUACAUUCAAGAUAAUUUAGUUGGAAGUGAAGUAAGUGAGAAAGAAAGAAAUACAUUUUUUUCAUUAAAACCAAAUAUAAAUACAUUAAAGUGUGAAAUAAAAAGCAUAUACGAAAUAGACUUUACGCCAGCUGAUUCAAUUUCUAAAAUCCUAGGCUUUUCCAAUAAAAUAUUACAAGCAAAUCAAUUACAUGAAAGCGAUUUACCUGUAAAUAUUAUCAAGGCAAAUUCAAUAAGGGUAGACUGUAAUAUAAUAGAAGGCUCAUAUUUAAACGGAAAUUUAUAUCAUAGUUUAUAUCAAAGUCCAAUUACUGUAAGUCCAGCUGAACAAAUUGUAAUAAGUCCCCAAAAUCAUAUUUAUUUACCUAUAGAUAGACAACAAGUCAUAGAAAAUAUUACCCUAAAACUUGUUGAUCAAAACAGUGAAUUAAUUGAUUUUAACGGGCAAACAAUCAAUAUUCAAUUAGCAUUAAAAAUUGAAAGAAAAUAAUAUUGAAUAUGAGAUUAAUCUAUAAAGAUGAGAGUUCCACCAGUUUCUUAUCAGUACCAAAUGAACCAUCUAGCCGUUCAUUAGCUAUAACAAGUGGUUCUUCAAAAAACUUAAAAUCUACAAAAAAACUAACCUUAAAAUCGAAAACAAAAUUAACCUCAAAAAGUAUCAAGAUUUUAAAAUCAUUAGGUUACAAUGUCGUUAAUAUCAAACGUACUCCAAAUCUUUCGAAAACCUACACAAGACGAAAGUAUUGAAAGGACAGAAGAACACACAUAUAAUCCUCAAAAUCAACUAUUUAGAAAUAAUGAUCGCAUAAAUUUUAUUAUUAAUCAAGAAAACGUAUGGAUAUUAUGGAAAAAAUCAUAUAUUAAAAUCAAUUGUACCUUAGAAUGGGAUCCACUUCCUGCAAACACAACUGAAGAAGCAUUUGGUCAAGUUACUUUAACCAAUAAUAUCGGUCCAUUUUUAUUUGAUUCUAUUUCAUAUUACCUUAAUAAUACUGAAAUAGAUAGUGUAGACCAAGUUGGUUUGGUUUCAACAGUUAAAACAUAUCUUUGUUUUAUGAAAAAUGAAUUUGAGGAAUAUCAGUCUCUAGGAUGGACAAAAAAUUUAAAUGAUCAACUUUAUACAUUUGAUCCGAGAACUAAAAAGUUUUCUCUUAAAUUAAAAUUAUCUCAAAUGUUAAAUUUACCAUUUACUUAUGAACGUAUUAUGUGUGGCACUCAUAAAAUAAGUUUAGUAAGAUCUAGAACAGAUGAUAAUUGUUAUGUGAGUACAGGAGUAAGAAAAGCUCGAAUUACUAUAACAGAUAUGAAUUUAGUAGCUUUACAUGUUUAUCCUGCUGCUAAAAUUCAACUUCAGUUACUUGAUUCAAUAAAAAAAAAUCGUGCAAUUCCAUUAGCUUUUCAAAAAUGGGAAAUACAGUCUAAGGAUUUACCAGACGCUAAAACAACUUCAUGGAAAAUUCAAACCAUUCAACGUGUUGAACGUCCUAAUUGGAUUAUUGUAUUUUUUCAAACUGAACGAGAUUUUAAUUCACGAAAAAAUAGCACUCAUUUUGAUCAUAUUAACUUACAAAAUAUAAGAUUAAAAAUUAACAGCAGAUAUAUUCCUUACGAUAAGUGGAGACUUGAUUUUACAAAAAAUUAUUAUGAAGAAGCUUAUGAUGCUUAUACUGAGUUUUAUAAAACCUAUUAUCAAAAAAAUCGCCAUCAACCAUUUUUAAAUUAUAAUGAAUAUAAAAAUUCACCUUUAUUUAUAAUUGACUGUACGACUAAUGUACACGAAAAUGCUUUCUCUUCCGAAAUGGAUGCCACAAUCGAAAUUGAAAGUUCAGAAAAUUUUCCAAUUCAUACAAAAGCCUACUAUAUAAUUAUUCAAGAUCGAGUCGGAAGUUAUAAUGCAAUAUCAGAAGCAAUUACCAUGUUUCCAUAAUCUUAAUUUAGAUUAGAUUCGUUCAAUUUAGUUUAAUUUAGUUUAAUUUAGUUUAGUUUAAUUUAAUUUAAUUAUAGUAAUUUUAAAUGAAAAUUCAAUAAGUAUGAGUCAUUAUCGUUCGAGUAUAAAUUUAGAACCAACUGCAGAUAAGAAAUAUUAUAUAAAAAAAAACAACUGUUUCCAUGUAUCAGAACAUCUUGGGGUUUUUAACACAAAACACGAUGACAAAAUUGAAUACAGGUUUCAACGUUAAAGAAAAGAACAAAAAAAAUGAAAAGAAUGAAAAGAACAAAAAAAACCAAAAUAAUGAAGAGGAGGAAAUUAAUAAAGAUAUUUCUUGGGACGUACGAGUAAUUAAAAAAGGCGAUGACUUUUCACUUCUUUUAUCGUUUUUUUUUACUUACGCUUUUAAUGCAAUAGGAUUUUUAAUAAUAAUGAUAAUGUGUUUUUCCAAAAAAACAUAUAUUACAAUGGCUGGGUAUUAUGGAGCUUUAAUGGGAUUAGCAGUAUCGAUAUUUCACUACGGUCUAAGUUUAUUCUUUACAUUCCUAAGGACUAACAAAACUGACACUUCCAUUUUAAUUUCUUCUUUAUUAAUAUGUAUUUCAGCAUUGGUGUUGUAUAUCAAUUGGAUAAUGUUUUUUUAUAAAUUUUAUAACUUUCAAAAUCAAGCGUGUAUAUUAAUUACAAAAAAUAAAAAAUCUAAUCCUUAUUUUGUAUUUUUAUUAUUAUUCCUUCCAAACUUAUAUAUAACAUUAAAAUUUAUCUUGUUUUAAUCAGUUUUAUAAUGGUUAUCGACUUGUUCGGACGUAACUCAAUAUCAUCAGGAUAUACUCGUAAUAUCCUAAAUGAUAAAUUUGAGAACAUAAUUAAUAAUAUAAUACCCACUGAAAUUGAUGAUAAAUUAAAUAAAUCAAUAAACAAAAUAGAAAAACAUAUUUUCGAUUUAACUAAAAAAAUAAACAAAAUAAAUAAUCUCUUUGAAAAAGAGAAAACCAACUUAACAAUCAAUAAGGAAAUAAUUGAAAAUCAUUUUAAUAAAAUGGAACAAUAUACUCGUAAAAUCCUAAAUGAUAAGUUUGAGAACAUAAUUAAUAAUAUAAUACCUAUUGAAAUUGAUGAUAAAUUAAAUAAAUCAAUAAACAAUAUAGAAAAACAUAUUUUCGAUAUAACUAAAAAAAUAAAUAUAAUAGAUAAUCUAUUUAAAAAAGAGAAAACCAACUUAAUAAUCAAUAAGGAAAUAAUUGGAAAUCAUUUUAAUAAAAUGGAACAAAUUUUAUUUGAUUUACAUAAAGUAUUUGAGAAGUUUAAACAAUAUGAUAAAGAGAUGAACAGUAAAAUAGGAAUCUUAGAUAGUAAACUUAAAAAUAUUAACAAUAUUAUUAAUUCAAUUACCAAUGUGCUAGAUAAAAGAAUGAACAAUAAAAUUACAACUAUACUUGACACUCAUAUGAAUAAUAAAAUUGAUAUCAAAUGGAAAAUGUUAAUGAAUAAUACUAAUGAACUAACGAAUCGAAUUAAAAAAUUGGAAAAAGAAUAUAACACAUUAGAUAAAAAAAGAACGACCAUACCAAAAACUAUAACUAACAGCAAAAAAAUGAAAAAUACAAAUAAAAAACAAACCAACGAAAAAAUUGAUUCUUAUGAGAAUACUGAAAUAGAUGAUGUUAAAAUAGAACCUUUACCCCACAAUAAAAACAAAUGUCUUCCAGGUUACCAAGCUGACAAGCAUGGGCAUUGUAGAGAAGUAUAUUAAACAUGUCUUUUUAGGCUUAUAGGUACCUUAUUCUACAAGAAUUAAAUAAAAAUAUACAAUUAGUAAAAUACAAUUAUAACAACAUGUAAUAAUGAAAUAAUAAAUUAUUAAUGAACA